rnacentral:rRNA from 1 species
AUGCAAAGUCGUCCUCGCCGAACACCACGAGAUCUGCGAGACCAUGCCGACAGCCAUGGGCAGAUAGAUCUGAAGCUUUGCCAGGUGAAGAUCCUUUGGUGGCGGGCAUCACUUAGCUUCAUGACUGGCGUGGUGGCAGCGAAGAGAGGAUCUUCUAGGCGCAUGGGAGCUCUGGGCAAGGAGGAGGAAGACCACCGGACAGUUACCAUCGCCGUCGCCGCGGGGGCAGAGCGCUUGCCACUCAGUCGAGGGGCGAGCAGGCCAAAUCGCUUCCGGUCAGCUUUCAUCAAACUCCGUCGCAUCUCAGUCGCGAGAGCGAGCAAGACGAGGAUCUCCUCCCCGACCAGUGGAGACGUGGAAAUCUUAGCCGGGGAAGAGCCGAGGAAAGGGCAGGGAUCCCUCCCCUUCGUUGGGAACCAAAUGCUGCGGCAGGCUCCCCGGCUCGAUUCUGCUUGGGGUUUCCUCGCCCAGGGAAAGGAGGGGGAUCCCGGGAGGAUCCCUGAUUACCAAAUGAGCCCUUAG